rnacentral:rRNA from 1 species
GAUGAACGCUGGCGGCGUGCCUAAUACAUGCAAGUCGAGCGAACAGACGAGGAGCUUGCUCCUCUGACGUUAGCGGCGGACGGGUGAGUAACACGUGGAUAACCUACCUAUAAGACUGGGAUAACUUCGGGAAACCGGAGCUAAUACCGGAUAAUAUAUUGAACCGCAUGGUUCAAUAGUGAAAGACGGUUUUGCUGUCACUUAUAGAUGGAUCCGCGCCGCAUUAGCUAGUUGGUAAGGUAACAGCUUACCAAGGCAACGAUGCGUAGCCGACCUGAGAGGGUGAUCGGCCACACUGGAACUGAGACACGGUCCAGACUCCUACGGGAGGUAGCAGUAGGGAAUCUUCCGCAAUGGGCGAAAGCCUGACGGAGCAACGCCGCGUGAGUGAUGAAGGUCUUCGGAUCGUAAAACUCUGUUAUUAGGGAAGAACAAAUGUGUAAGUAACUAUGCACGUCUUGACGGUACCUAAUCAGAAAGCCACGGCUAACUACGUG